rnacentral:lncRNA from 1 species
AAGCAUGCAACAUGCAAUAAGAAGUGCAAACAAACCAGUUGUUUUAUUAAUUUGGGUACAAACUAUAACAAACUGGCUCUAACCUAAUCAUUUAUGAAAUCCAAAGAGUCCACAUUUCCAAAUAAAACCGAGUAUCAGAUAGUUUAGGAACUUGUUAAAGAAUCCUCAUUCCGUUUAUUGAUACCAUCUUCUUCUUCUGAAUCAUUCAUUCAUCCUUGGAUGUGGAUGUUGUUAAGUCACUCCUACUUUUACCUUUCUUCAUUUUUGCUUUAAACCGAGAUUUCAGUACAAGAGUCUGAACUGUAUUUGCAAAAUUCCCAACAGCCAUAAUUAUCAGCAGAAUCCCACACGUAACAACCUGCCCAAAAAAAAAAAUCUCUCAGGUUUCUGCAAAAAGGUUAUUGUUCCAUCAACCCCUGAGCUGAGCUGGCCCACACUCACCCUGUACUGCUUAAAAGCAUCAUGUGAAAUGUAAAUCAGGUAUUCUUACCUGCCAUUCAGAAAUGACACCUACAACUGCAGUUUUUAGCAAUAGCACACCUACAUAUGCUUCAAAAGCCUGUAAUCACAAAUAAUAAUAACAAUAAUUAAAUUUCCACAUUAUUAAAAUAGAAUUGAUUAGGAAAUAAAUAAUAAAUCACCUGCAAGACAAAGAGUAUGGGCAAUAAUAUCCAUAAUUGACCUUUUACUCCAGCAGUUUCCCCCCACACAACAUCCAUUCUUCUAGCCUACAAUCACAACAAAUACUUAGAUUGAUUUUUAUUUACAAAAAAAAAANAAAAAAAAAAAAAAGAAAAUUAUAUAUAUUCUCAAAAUUUGAUUUUAAUAACACCACCUUCCCAAGUGCAAUGCGUGUAUAGAGUCUCUGUCUUUGGUAUCUGUUUUGUAGAAGCAUUGCUACACCUUGCAUGAUUGCCCAUCUCAGAAACAAUUGUAUACCUUUCUGCAAAACAUGUUGAAUACACAAAUGACGAUUUUGUCCUCGAACCUAAAAUGUAUAAACAAUAUUUUAACCUGCUUUUGGGCACAAUCAGGUUGCCUUUCUAUCUCCCAAGUGAGGCUGAUGAGUGCCAUGGCCAUAGCAAAAUAGUGAUGAUAUAUCCACCUACACAUCGUAUCAUUUAUAUAUUCAUAAUGCAUUGAAAAACUUCAUUAGAUUAUAUAAAUAAUAAAUUCAAACCACACAAUAGAACAUUACCAUGGACGUAUAUCGCUUCCAUUAACUCUCAAAAUAUUUUCUCUUAAAGCUAAUCCUGUGUAUAGAAAGAGCAACCAUGCCUGAAAAGGGCAUAAUCAUUAUGUUUUAGUAACAUUUUUAGGGCUAUUUUCAAUGAAGAGAGCAUUCAUGUGUUUUCCACUGACAAAAUAUAAAAUUAUGGAUGAAGAGAUAAAAGUGUACCUGGUAAAUCUGAACAGGUAAAGCAGGGAAACAUCCAUCCCAAAGACAUGACCUUAACACCAGUAGCAAUGAAGGAAAAAAGAGAAACAGAUAUGCAGUUCUAUCCUGCCCAUAAUUCAAUGGAAAAUCAUAUAAGUGUAAAAAUUAAACCAAACAAGAAAAAGGGUGAUGCUUAUGAGCAAUAACUAGAACACUAGAAAUACCUACAAUAUCUAAUUAGGGGAAGAGAAUUUCUUACUCUGAAACUAUAGUAUUCUUCUUUCACUUUCAAUUGAACAUCUUGUCUGUUAGCACGAACAUUUAUUGGACCAAGAAGCAUCCUCAAAAAUCUUCCUGUAACCCAAUCAACAAACUGAGUUUGGAGGAAAAACUUAUUACACACAAAAGGCCAGAAGCGAAAUAGCUCAGCUUGUUUUAACUAAUAAAAGCAACGCACCAUGUGAUUUGCAGGGAAGAAAUGUGGCUGCAUCUCCUUCCCCCAAUGUAAAACUUGCUCUACUCAGCUCUUCAGCUAACUGUAAAUGCCCGAUUGAAAAAAUCAGAACAUUAAACACAAAAACGAAACAGAUACCAGCAAGCCGUCGGUUUUUAUGAUUAUAUGAUCAUGGAAGAAGCGCUGUUUAUACAAUGAUAACUUGAAUUUUCAACAUUGAUACAUAUGUAUUAUUUGCUACCCUAAAUUGAUACAAAUAAAAUGCGCAUGUAAAUUGAAAUCUGAGUGGGCUUACUUUUUCUGCAUGUUUGGAAUCUAAAUUGCCUUUCUUGACGGAGGAACCAAUGAACGUUCUUAACAUUUUGAUAUUUGAAUCGAGAGCUAGGGCUCGUUGGCGUAGCGAUGAUUCCUCCUGUGAAUUUCUAGAAAUUAAGGUCGACGCUGAUUCCUGCAACUCUUUACUUUGUUCCACAAGCCUAGAAACUUCUUCAGCGACGUUUCUCUCCGACAAGCUAUUAUCACCGCCAUCCCUGGCAGUAGAGUCGCCCAUCUCGAACAGAUCGAUUGAUGGAUAAUUCACCCAAUUUCUACUUAACCAUUUGCGCGAGUGAGUGUAUAAUUAAUAUGUAGGUUUGUGUGUAUUUUCUUGUAAGUAACCAGAUAAAUAAGAGGGAAAUAACGAUAAAGGAGAUGAAGUGGGGGAAACAAACAUGCGGCUGGUUUCCGGCGAGGAAACGGCGAUUUGUGGCGGCGAAUAUAGAUACCGACGGUGGAAUUGGCCCUCUUCCCGGUUGUGAUUGUAGUGGUAUAUAGCAAACUUGCACCCACGUGCACCUCAGCUUGCUUUUAAACGAUUCCUACACGCAUAUAUCUCUUUUAAUAAAACAAUUGCUUACAAGGGCCAUGAUUUAACUCUUUUAAGUAGAGUAAAGCAAAUUAAUUCAUAAAGAUACUAAAUUAAAUAUUCCUAUUAAAUGUUCGCUAAGUUUUCCAUAAUGGUAAAAUACAUUAAAUAAUAUGCAAUUUUAUCACAUAUUGAUGUUAUUAAUGAGUAAUAGACUAUUUUGUAAGGUGAUGGGGGGUUUGCAAAAUCUGAUGGUUAAUGAUGAUUGGUAAUUUUAAUAAAAUAAUUUUCUAUGUCAUUCAAAUUUCAAAGUCCGUUGCUAUUCUUUCGUGGGUUGGAAUUAUGUAUUUGGAGUUCCAUUUUCCCAAAGGUCAGAUUGUUUUCGUUCGUUGUCUUGUUGUAAAACUUGUUUUGCAUUGGUGCCUACUUCUUGUUGAAUUUUCUUAAUUUUUAUAGCUUGUAUUGUGUCAUGUUUUUUUUUUUUUUUUGUUGUUUGUAAUCAGGACAGAUCUUGAAGAAUUAAAUAUUCUUAAAGAUCCAGGACGAGCAAAAAAAAAGAGUCCUUAACGUUAUAUAUAUAUAUUAUAUAUAUNNNNNNNNNNNNNNNNNNNNNNNNNNNNNNNNNNNNNNNNNNNNNNNNNNNNNNNNNNNNNNNNNNNNNNNNNNNNNNNNNNNNNNNNNNNNNNNNNNNNNNNNNNNNNNNNNNNNNNNNNNNNNNNNNNNNNNNNNNNNNNNNNNNNNNNNNNNNNNNNNNNNNNNNNNNNNNNNNNNNNNNNNNNNNNNNNNNNNNNNNNNNNNNNNNNNNNNNNNNNNNNNNNNNNNNNNNNNNNNNNNNNNNNNNNNNNNNNNNNNNNNNNNNNNNNNNNNNNNNNNNNNNNNNNNNNNNNNNNNNNNNNNNNNNNNNNNNNNNNNNNNNNNNNNNNNNNNNNNNNNNNNNNNNNNNNNNNNNNNNNNNNNNNNNNNNNNNNNNNNNNNNNNNNNNNNNNNNNNNNNNNNNNNNNNNNNNNNNNNNNNNNNNNNNNNNNNNNNNNNNNNNNNNNNNNNNNNNNNNNNNNNNUAUAUAUAUAUAUAUAUAUAUAAGAACAAUAAAUUUUGGAUUGUGUACACCUGCCCACUUUGUCUCUCCUCAACGCCUCCAUACUUGUAAUUUUACGAUUUUUUGUUUGUUUAUUUUGUAAAUUUAGCCUGACCGUGAAAAAAAAAAUUGUUUUUUGUCAUAAAAUAAAAUUGCUUAAAAAAUGGUAUCAAAAGUUAACCAACUAAAAUUUUUUGUUCAAAAAAUAUUAUUAUUUAAAUAGUAUUUUAUAAACAAAUAGAAAUAAUUUAUUACUCAUUAUUACAUUUAAAGAACAAUGAUGUUUUAUAAAUAAAAAAAAUGUAUUUUUCUCAUUAGUAACAUUAACCCUUUAUUUUAUUGUUCUUAUAUUAUACCAUCGAACAAAAAGCAUAUGGUGCAAUGGUAAUGUUGAAAGUUUAAGUCUCUUUUUGGAUGAAACGUGUAAAUUUAGGAGUAUUUUAUUAACUGUGUGAGUUAGCCAUUUUAAACUAAUAUUUGAUACCAAUUUAGGGUUCGAGUCUCACUUUUGUUUUGAUAUGUGAUCAUAUUAGACUUGAGGAGGAAGAUAAGAAAGAAGAACACAGAAUAUCAGGACUUGUAAUGGUUUUUCUUAAACUUUGUUUUGUUACUAAUGUUAGUUCCUCACGUGUGAUUAAAAAUUUGUGUUUAUUUUAAUUUUUGGAACCAAACUAUUCUGCAAACUUUAAAGGGAUAAUGUUAGUGUAUCCCAUCAAACUCUUCAUUUUUUGUCUAAAAGGUUCCCGAUGUUAUUUUUUGGCAUUGUGGAGACAUACAGUCCUUAUUGACCUAUUAAAAAAAGGUGUUAAUCUUUUUCUUUUCCGAUUUCACCGCUAAAAAAGAUGACGUGUAUAUGGUACCAUUGUGCUUUGGCUUUUGUAAAGUCAUGCCUCAAAGAAGACCAUAAAUACUGUACUAAUCUCUAUGAAGGAUCUAAUUAAGGUUGCAUCGACGUUGCUUUGCUUUUCCAUUCUUGUGCCUUACCAACACAAGGUCAUGUAAACCCUUUUAUGAAGCUAGCGAAGCUUCUCUACUUUAAUGGCUUUUGCAUCACCUUCGUCAACACUGAAUUCAAAUACAACUGUCUCAUCCACUCCGAAGGCCCGAAGUCCGUCGAAGGUUUACCGGAUUUUCGCUCGAGACCAUCCCAACGGCAUGCACCACUCAUAUCGAGACACCAUUCACGAACAUAUUGAUGCUUUGUGACAUGACCAUAAAAACUUGUUUGAUUCCGUUCAAGGAGUUGUUGCAGAAGUUAAACGUAUCGACGAGAGUCUUACCAUUCAAUUGCGUCGUCGCAGAUGUUGUGAUGAGCUUUGUGAUGAAAAAUACUACAGAUUUUGGGAUUCCAAAGGUUCAAUUCAAGUCUACUUCGAUGUGUGCCUUCGUGGGUUGUCUGCAUUGUCCUUUUCCACCUUCUCACAAACUUUCCUAUAUAAUUAUGCUUUAAUAUUUUUGCAUUUUUUGUUAACUUUGAAUCAUUAAAUCAUUAUGGAUGUGACAUCCACUUCCGAUAUUACAGUUCAUUUUGUAGUAUUAAUGGGAUGGCGGCGAUGGUGUUGGUGGAAGUGGCGGCGGUGGUGGUGGGGAUGACGGUGGCAAAAUAGUGUUGGUGAUGACAAUGGUGGUGAUGUUGAUGACGAAGGAGGUGGUGGUGAUGACGGCAGUGAUAGUGUAGUAGAGUGUCGAUGAUUAUGGUAGUGGUGAUGGGUGGAUGGGUAGUUGCGUUUGUAGGGGUGGGGGUGUUGGGAAUUGGGGGUGGGUCGGUAAGGGUGGAAGUGGGGUAGAAGGGGUAGCAUGAGAGUGGAUGUGUGUUUAUAUAUAUAAAAAAAUUGGAAUUAGAAAAAUAUAAGAAAAAAUAAUUAUCAGUUUUCUAAAAAGAAUUAUGUUCUUUGUAAAUUUGAGAAACGGAGAAUAUUUCAAUUUUUGUGAAAAUUUUAAAAAUUGUAGAACUAAAAGUAUUUUCAAUAUUCUCAUUUUUCAUAGAAAUUUUUCCGAAAAACAAUUUACUUUUCCAUAAAUAAACAUGNNNNNNNNNNNNNNNNNNNNNNNNNNNNNNNNNNNNNNNNNNNNNNNNNNNNNNNNNNNNNNNNNNNNNNNNNNNNNNNNNNNNNNNNNNNNNNNNNNNNNNNNNNNNNNNNNNNNNNNNNNNAUAUAUAUAUAUAUAUAUAUAUAUAUAUAUAUAUAUUUAUAAUAGAGACAUUUUUGCUCAAACCAUUUUCAUUUAAACCUCUUCUUUUAACUAAUAUCACUCAAAAAUCUUUUUAAUAAUGAUUUAACCAUUCAAAAGUUUUAUAACUUAUAUAUUUUGUUUAAUAAACACUUAAUCGAAAGUGUAUAAUAAAAAAACUAAUUUUUUAAGGAGACGUUCAUACAAAAUUCGAAAACAAGUUUAAAGGUUUUCUUUGUUGGUACGAGCUCUUUUGAUCAGUUUUUGAGGCAUGUGAUUAUGUUAGAAUUUUUAAUUUAUAAGAUUGUUAUAUAUCAAUUCUUUUUUUCUUGGUUUUAGUAUUAUUUUAAUACAAACGUUGUAUGUCGUCAUUGAACCGUUAAUAUAAAUUAAAUUAUAUACAUGUUAUCGAUCAUAUGUUAUAUGGUGAUGUGUAUAAUAUCUAAUUAAAUAUGCUAUAUAUGAUUUUUUGUUUAUGUUGCUGUUUCAAAUAAAUAAUUAAUUAAAAAUCAUUGAUAUGUCAUAUUUUCAAUGUAACUCUUUUUUGAGAUAAAAAUGUUAUAUUAAUCUGAUGAUUAUUUGUUUUAUGUUAUUGCUUCAAAUAAAUAAUUAAUUAAAAAUCAUUGAUAUGUCAUAUUUUCCAUGCAAGUCUUUUUUCAGAUAAAAUUGUCUAUCUUAUCAGGUUAUACUAAUCUUGUGCAACAGGCAUAUAUACACAUAGUAUAUAUUUAAUUGAUAACCGGUUUGAUUGGUUAAAAAAUGGUUGGAAUUCUCAUAAGAUGAUUUGAUUUAUUUAUUAUGUGUGCUAAUUUAUUUCAAUUGGUUUUAACUUUAUUUUUCUAAUUUUCUAUUAAUAAAAAAAUAAUAAUAUCAUUAUUACUAUUAUCAUCAACAUCAACAAGAAAGAUAUCAUUUUGAGUUUCUGAUAAUUAGUUGAUAUUUUACAACGUUAAGCUUUAUAUAAACCAACAAACUGCCCUACAAAGUUAUGCAAAUAACGAAAAAAGGAGUUUUGAAAAUAAUAGUACAUACGCAAGCCAAAUUGGAAUAAAUUCAAAUAUUCCUGGUUUAUUCCGAACUUUGCCACCUCCUUGAGUUUGAUACUUUGAUUCCAUACUUAUGCACCCUAAGUUCAGCCCAAAAGGCAUUCUUAAACUUAUUUACAACAUAAAUUACAAAUAACUCAAUAAUACAUCACAAAAUAUUCAUAAAUUCCAAAGAGAGUGCGUACUUAUUUUUCCACUUCAUGUCAACAAACACUCCUCUAUCACACCACUCCACACCAAACAAAAAGAAUGUAAAAUUUUCAACCAUCUUUUCUAACCUUUUCCAUCAUAAUAACAACAUCACUCCCGCAACUGAUGAAGUGACAUUCAUUACCACAACUUAAUAGCUGAUUCUAUUAUAUAAUUCAACCGAUUUGAGUUACUUUGUUGUUUGCCUUUCAAGCUUUGUUUUUGCAUCUCCCACUUUAGCGGUUGACCCGUAUGAUAACCUUCGAUUUCUCGAUGCUUUCUUACCAUUAGGUGAAUUUGACUUUUUCAUUGAUGGCGAUUUCUUAGUUGGUGGACUAUUGACUUUCUUUGGAGUGGACCCCACUAGAGCUCGAGUUUCCCAAGGCCGAGCAGCAAUCCAUCUCUCCAUCCAACUCCAACCCCAAUUAGAUGCCGCCACAUCAGAUUCAUUUAUGCCUAAAUUUGAAUUCGAAUUUGCCCUCCACUACAAAUAAAUGGAAAGUUAGCAAUGUGCUUUUCAAAGUUUCUAAUUAUAGCAUAUUACUAUCAUAUCAUAUCUUAUUAAUGUUUUGUACUUUUACAUAUCUACCCAUUAUAGCAAUGGUAAGUGGCUCCCUUUUGUAUAGAUCAUCCCAUUAUUUAAUUUGCUGACGUGGCAUAAUUAAGCUGACAUGGAUUUGAUUUGAGUUUACCUGAUGAGAAAAGGCGUAUGCCAUUGCUCGCUCACGCUUUACAGAUGCUUCUUCUCUUUGUUUCAUCCGUGCAAGAACCUCAUCCAUCGUACGAGAGCUCCCACUCCACUCCAUCUGCAAAGUAAAAUCAAUUAGAUUUUCAUAGUGCAAAAAAGAUUGAAUCUUUUCAUGGUAAAUUAUUGAAUAAAUAGCAUGAUUUGGCUUCUUUAAUCAAAUAAAAAAAAUCGAGUUAAAAUUUGCAUUAUCUCUAGAUCACAUACCUUAGCAUCAAGCCUCAAUUGAUUCUCAAGCUUCUUCUGCUUGAUCCCGCUGUCUUCCACCAUAGCCAGUCUGCGAGUUCUUAUCUGGGCUUGUAUCUUGCUCCAUGUUUGAAGAUUUCUUAAUGUAUUCGAGGUUUGCUUUUUGCCAAAAUCCCCUUCCAUAAGCAUCUGCAACUUUACUAAUCGUUUCAAAUUGCAGAAAUACUUUCUCGCCUGAAAAUAUCACAACAAAAAAGUCAAACAAAAAAGUCAACCUGAAAAAAGAUUCAAGAUCAUCAACAAAUUGUGAAACUGAUUACACUUCUACAAGAUUACGUUCAUAUAAAGAAUUUCUUUCUGACUCUUGACGUUAAUUGACCAACUUUCGUAUUAUCAUCAUCACAAAUGUAGAAGAUUAUGACUUUGGUUCACAAGAUUUCCGCUAAAGGGCAUUUUAGACUUUUACUAAUCGCCAAAUGUAAAAAUACCUUAAACCCCCUAAACGCAGUUUGGAUCCGUAUUGCUGCUACAUCCUCAUCAGGCAGAUUAACAGAUACACGGCGUCCUUUAGCAACACCAUUAAUAAUAUUUUUUUGUUCCUCUUUAGAUCGAGAUUUCAAAAUAAAACCAUUUGUUUCUGGUAAUGAAUUAUCCUGUAAAAAUUGCAGUGUUAGAAAAGAUAUUCACAAGUAAAGAAGGUUAAAACUGUAAAUUCCAUACAACAUGGUUAGAUUACGAUAAAAAUUGGCGUAUAAAAUAAUUUUAUAAAUUGCAUACCUUUGUCUUGUUAUUUUUUUGUUUCCUAGCUUUAUUUGAACUGAUUAUAUUCUUCAACCAAUCACUUGAUCCCAUGGUUGAUGCUAUACUUUGUGAUUGCUGCAAGAGAAAAUGGGAAAUUACUUUCAUGUAUUUGUGUAUUAUAUUACAAAACCAUAAAUAAUCAUACAAAUUAGCAUCUUAUUUAAAACAAACACCAUAAUAAUUAAACAAUUGAAGGUUCUUCAAAUCUUUGACGAAUACUAAUAAUCUAAUAUACAAAACCAUAACAGCGUGCAAUAAAAUUAGCAUCUUAUUUUGAAAGUUACUUAAGUCAAAGCAUCAUCUGUUCAAGUAGACGAAAUCAUAACAAGUCAAAACACAAAUCCCGAAAUCAUAAUAAAAAGGGGAACUUUACUGCAGCAAAUACUGUUGACUUUCAAAGUCAGAAAAAUAAAACCCAAUAACUGAGAUAUCAAUGUAGAGAAAAUCUUGGAUAAAUAUCGGAAUACCCACAAACAAAAACCAGAAAAUGUUUAUGUGCAACAAAUUAAAUUAACAAACACUAGUCGAAUUACUUGAAAAGUCAACGCAUCAUACAUUCAAUAGAAGAAAUCGAAGAACUUGUAGUAAAAGAAAUUGAGAAGGCGUUCAUGAGAGCGACAUACCAGAGCAGAAAAAAAACUUCAAAUUUGGAUUCUGAAUCAAGAAGUUCUUGAAAGAAUAUAAAGGAAGUGAGUGAGUGGUGAUAUUACGUUUGGGAAAGGGUAGUAAUACAAAUAGGAAGAAUAAUGAAGAAGGAAAGCAGAAAAAGAACAAAAAGGUGGGUGUGAAGAAACUGUGGAUAUCUUUGCCAUGGCCCACAACUGUUCAUCUUCUUCAAAGCUGUUAAAUUUUAUGAAAAAGACAACUCCUUUUGUCUCAUUAAAAAUGGAACAUUUCCAUUUUAAGAUAUUUUUAUAAAUUUUCUCAAGAUUUUGAUUUAAAUAAAAGGUUUGUUUGUAGUACUAACAUGAAACACAAUGUCCUAUACUCCUAUUUCAAGCCCGUGUUCUAAUGUUAUAAUGAUUGUGUCUAUUUUAAAGUUUUUCGUAUAUUUUGCAACAUAAAAUAUUUAAAUUUAAUUGCAUGAAAAAGUUAUUGUUACUUUGAUAUCACAUCACAUAAUUUUGAUUUUGUUAUUUUUAGGUCACAAGUUUCUCCUCCAUAUGUACGAUUCCCUUAUCUUAACAUAUUUUAGAUAUUGUUAAUAUUCAUAUAUAUUUUGUUAGAUUAUGUGUCAAAAUGAGUUCAAUGAUGAUUUAUUAUAUCACCGGCAAGACUUAUUGAUAUUAUCUAUAUUACAAAAACUAAUUUUAAUAAUUUUCUUUGGACUUAAAAGAGUAUCAUAUCAAACAAUUAAGUAAAAAAAGAAUUAGAGAGGUUACACCAACAGGAAAACAAAUAAUUGACAAUCAUUGUGAUGGCUUAUAUUUUCAAUUGGCCGGGGUUUGUAAUCAAAAGCACUGUGCAAAGAAUCUUGAUUAUUAUUGCGUGUGUUUGGUGAUAGAUACUUUUGAUUAAAAAUACGUUUAUUAUAAAAAGAAAUAUAUCUUUUUGGAGAAAGGAAGCAUUUCAAAAUAAUUUAAGUAUUUGUUACCAAUCAUUAGAGAUUCUUAGAAAAUGGAUUAUCUUCUGCGGUUCAUAUGCGUCGGUAUUAAUAUGUAUUUAGACCAUAUUUAUUGAUGAACUUUGAUAACCGGAUCAUAAAGAUGACAUAUUAAGAUGAAACAGAAGAAAAAUCGGGACUAAUUGGGAGAAAAUUAGGAAGGGACUAGAGAGAAUUAAUAAUGUUUUUGGUUGGUGGGUUGUAUGAAGGCAUCUUUCUGGUGUGUGUUUAGCAAUGAUUGUAAAGGGGUUAUGUUUAUUAAAAAUAUAUAUUUAAUUUAGUUUAUAUAUGUUUUAAUAUGAACAUUUUUUUUAGUAAAUCAUAUAUAUAUAUNNNUAUAUAUAUAUAUAUAUAUAUAAGCAUCCAUCAUAGUUAAGAAAAGGUAAAUAUUUUUUUCUUUCUUUUUUAGAACGGCUGAAAAGGUAAAUAGUUGACACAUAUCUUUGUUACGUGUAGCUGAAAAAGUAGAAGAUGAUAAAUAAGUUCAGUUUUUCUUUGCCAUGUCUUUUCCUGGAGCUUUGAUUACUUAUUAAUAACUCCAUAAAGUGUUAAUGCAAAAUUGCAAAUCAUGGUGAACAUAAAACGUCUACGUAUAGAAGAUGUUUAUGGUGAUUUAAAUGGUUUAUGGGUAUGUUUGGAAUGUUAUUUUGUUUGCUACAACCAAGCCUAGAACUGGCAAAUAUUAUCUGAUAAAAAGAAAUCUCUCAAUCUUAUUUUUGGUUUUAUAGUAGAUAUCAUAAUUGAAAAAAAAAAAAUACAUUGGAGUGGUUUAGUUAAGGAACCAACUUUGAUUUUAUGACUUGCAGUUUUAUUUUAUUUUACAACUUGCUAGUUUGUUUUACAAAAGUUGUUCAAAAAAAGAGGCUUGGAGAUUGACUUUUUUUAUAAAAUGGAAAUGAAAUCUUGUUUAUUUUUUAUUUUUGUAGAUUUUUAAGUAUCUCGAUUGGUAGUGUAACAAAGGAAGGCUAUUUCCAGGUUUUAUAAAUAUAAGUGAGCACCAUUUCUCUUUAAGCUACCAAGGCACAAUUUCAAAGUGUUUCGAUUGUUGAUUUAGUUUCAACUUAAUUGGGCGAAUUAGAUAAUAUUUUUUAAACAAAAAAUUUUGUAGUGUUUCUUUUAUGUAUUAGUGGUAGGUACCGCCCCUCCCUUAUUGUGUGUGUCUCUCUGUAUGUGAGCGAGAAACCAAUGAAAAAGAAGUAUAAACUAUAAAGUAUAAACCACAAGUGUAUCAUCAAUUUGACAAAAUAUUUGAAGUCAAUUUAGAACAUAAGUUAAUGCAUGCCGAGGUUAAGCUUAGACAAGUGUUAAAGUUUGUGUAAGGAUUUCAAAUACGUAACUAUGUUGUUAUGUAUGCCAUUAGUUGUAAAAAAAAUUGGUGUUGACUUUUGUUGACCAUUAGAAGAUAUUUUUUUCGAUAAACGAUAAAUUUUUAUAUAUAUUCUCUUAGAUAUCACAAUACAACGAGUGAAGUUUGACAACAAUUUGCGCCGUUAAGCAUUUUUGUAUGGUAAAAUCAAUUCUUUUGAAUACAACAUUCAUAGAUCUAGAGUAUGUAAUGGUUACGUUUUGUGGUUAAAAAGUAAUAUCCGUUUAAUAAGACUAAACUAAUAAAAAUAUUUACUAAUAUAAUUUUUUAAUUCAAUUGAAUAUAUUUAAUUUGUUAAUUUAAAUAUGAUGUUAAAUAAAAGUCUAAAUUAAAAUAUUAAAUAACUUUGAAGACUAAAUUUUAUAAUAUUUAAAAAUUUUAAUAGGAUAUAAGUGUAAAACAUAAAUCAAAAUGUCAAAUUAACUAAAAAUAUCUAAAAGUUGUUUUUUUUUAAUAAUUAAAAUUUUUCUACAAAAGUAUUUAUUUAAAAAAAUUAAGGGUAAAUGACACAAAAAACACUUUUUCUAUACAAAAAUUCGAUUUUGACACCAUGUUUUUUUUGUGUCAAUUUUAACACUGUAUUUUCCAAUUUUUUACAAUUCUGACCACUUGACCGGUUAAGCAUGUUACAUGCUGACGUGGCAUGAUGACGUGUUAGUUUUGAUGACGUGGCAUGCUGACAUGAUAUGCUGACGUGUCAAAAUUGAUUUUUUUUCCACAAAAAACACUAAGUUUUUACUUUUUUUCGAUUUUGACACUAUGUUUUUUUUGUUCCAAUCGAACAUCAUUUAUCAAAUUUUGUUCAAUUUUGUCUAUUUUCCAUUUAAAACCGUAUAAAUAUAUUUUUUUAUUACAUUUUACACCGUAUAAACAUAUUUUUUUCAUUUAAAAACCACAUUUUUAUUUAAAUACAAGGUGUUUUUUUUCUUACAUUCAAAGCAUUAGUUAUAUCAUGAGAAUCAAACUAACCAUAAGCUUCUAAUAAGAUGUAAAAAUUUGAUGGGUUGCAAAUUUGAUAUCCGAGUUUUGAUCGACUACACGCCUCUAAACCUCCAAACACAUUUUAAAGUUGCAUAUUUAAUAUAAAAUACAAUUUUUAUAUAACUAAUACAAAUUUAUACAUAAAAAUAUGGUUUGAGUGUAAAAAAAUGUAUUUAUACAAAACUAUGGUUUUUAAAUGAAAAAAAACAUAUUUAUACGGUUUAAAUGUAUUAAAAAAAUAUUUAUACGGUUUCAAAUAGAAAAUUGUCAACAUUAAACAAAAUUGGAAAAAAUAAUGUUCGGUUUUGAACAAAAAAAUAUAGUGUCAAAGUUGAAGAAAAAAAUUAAACUUUGUGUCAAAAUCGAAAAAAUUGAAAACUUAGUGUUUUUUGUGAGAAAAAAAAUUCAAUUUUGACACAUCAGCAUACCAUGUCAGCAUGCCACGUCAUCAAAACUGACACGUCAUCAUGCCACGCCAGCAUGCAACCUGGUUAACCGGUCAAGUGGUCAGAAUUGUAACAAAUUGGAAAACACAGUGUCAAAAUUGACACAAAAAAAACACAGUGUCAAAAUCGAAUUUCUGUUUAAAAAGAGUGUUUUUUGUGUCAUUUACCCAAAAAUUAACAAUAAUAAUAUUUAAAUAAAAUGAAAUCAAAAACUAUAUUAUUUUGUUUUAGAAACAAUGAUUGAUAUUUGAAGUAAUUAAGUAUUAUAAUAAUUAAAACAACAUUAACUCGAAAAUUAUAUUUGAUUUAUUUACAUGCAACUAAAGAUGACUAUGGAACGAGAUGAGAUGGUAUCGGUGAUCUCAGUCCAUGCCCAAUUAUAUACAUAUAUUAAAAACCAACAUGCUUAUCAACAGUAAACUUUUCCGCUUUCAUAUUUUAACCACAGUAUUAUGCACAAAACGACUCUUUUCGCCCUUCUACAUUUGCAACUGUCCUUCUUGCACAAACGAAUAUACCCGACGUAGAUGGUUUCAUACAUUUCUCGCAGUCUUUUCAUCUAAGAACUUACAUUCUCGAAUCCAACUCCUCCGAUUCAUAAGGUAUUUCGACUGCAAUCUCUUUCUCUUUCAUGUUUCAUCAUCGACUUCUCCCACUCUUACUCAAUUUAUUCUCAAUUUUGACAAAACUGUUUCUUGAUAUGCAAAAUUUUCUGAUUUCUGAUUUCGUUUCCGACUCUCUGCAAUUGAUGUUUCUGCUGUCUUCUCCUCCAAGAAUUAACAGUUUUGACUCCAACUCUUCCGAUUGAUAAGGUAUAUCAAUUUCAGUCUCUUUCAUCUUCUGAUCAUCGAUUUUCCCCAAUGUUUCUGAAUUUGUUCAACUUAUCGACAAAAAAAAUUUCUUAAUGUGUACAUUUUCUGAUUUCUGAUUUCAUUCUGAAUCUCUAGAAUUGGCAUCCCCGCCGUCUUCUCCUCUAACAAUUUACUCUGUAGUGUUUAUUCUCCAAGCGAAGACCCUCUUUUGCAAUUAUCACACCUCCCCGCCCCCUCCAGUGGAAACGAUAAUAUCUCAUUCUUGCAAUUGUAGUGAAAGCGGCACCGGUGGCGAUGGUGGCUUCCACACAACCGUCUUCCGAUUGAUGCAAGAGGAUUGGUCCAUCUGUUGCUCCUGUAUUAUAGGGCUCUAUCAAUUUGGGCAACGAUUUUGAGCAAUCGGUGACGAAUUUUGUUGGAGGUCGGCAGUUUCCAUUUAAAGAUGUAAAUGCCCUGAGAAGAUUUCGAUCGUCAAGUCUAAGAAGAAAAAGAGCGUCGCCACGCUUUGCGUAAGGUCGAUUCAAUAUGUAUUUUCUGAAAUAGCUCCAUUAUAUUUCCUCUUUUGUUUCAUUCAACAACAUAAUUGUGCAAUUGACGUAAGAUGAAAUUAGGGCUUUUUGUUUUGGUUUUAUAUUAUUCAAUUUCUCAGAAGAUCAAGAAUUUGGGGAAUCAUGGACUUCCUUAUUGGUCUGAUGUGUUUAGCAGCGUUGGAAGUUUACUCCCUAUCAAUGGAGGGAAGGCUGCUCAACAGACCAAUUUAUCAUCAAUGGUUCCUCAUUUCUUCUUUUUUCUAAAGAUUGAACUGACAUUUCUUCUUUGUUCCAAAGACUGACCUAACAUUCGAGUAAUUUUCACUGCUAAUCUUUGUCUUUGAGAAGUAGUGCAUCAUCUAAACGAAAAUUUGAUAUUUUCCUGUUAAUCUUGUAGAAGAUUGGAGAAUUGAUUUUAAAAGGGGGUCACUUCUAUGUGUACGCUUAUCUUUUUGUUUUUUUUUGGACAACUGUAGGAAUAGGAUCAUCUAAAGACACUAUUGUGAGCAUCCGAAGACCAAGACUUAUCAAAAACAGCCUCAUAUAGUUGUGUAGAUUAAGUGCUUUACCCAUUAACUCUAUUAAGUGAAAAGGAAGCUCAUUAGUGUCCAAUUAUGCAAGCCUAACCAUAAAUACCAUGGAGUAGAGAUUUUGAUGCCACUAAUUUGCGAUUGAGGAAAGGAGAAGGAAGAAGAGCUCCUACAAAUGGGGUAUUUUGAAAAACCUUAUCUUAAACUUAAAACUUCGAACUGCUCCUAAGUUAAUUUACAUUUACGUCCUUUAUUUGCUUUUGCAUUACAUACAACAUUGAAGUAAUGAUGUCGUUUCUUUCUACUCAUACAUGUUAUGGAUUCAAGGUUAUUAGCUAAAUUAUGCCCUCAAUCACUAUUCUUUCAGGUACAACACAUUCAUGCACAUGUGGUCUCCUGCUGGUCAAACCGGAUUGUUUGGAAUGAAUGAAGUUAUGAAUCACGGUUGCGAUUUCAUAAAUGGACAAGGAAGCAAAAAAAGAUGGACCUAACAGAGUAACAAUAAUAGGGAUGUGUGACUUCUAGCUCACACUAAAAUUACUUUAUCUAUGCAUUAUUUGAUUUUAUUUAAUCCUUUUAUUAUUGUCACAAAAUUUUUUGAUUUCCG